AAAAAAAAAGAGAAGUCAGUGUAUGUGUGUGGGGGUGCGAUCGAGAGAAAGACCAAGGAGAAACCCUUCUCCUCAAAACCUAGCAAGAAAUCAUCAAAUUGAAGGGCAAUAGGGCUGAAAUCUUAUGCAUGAGUGAAGAACUAAGAUCACCUAAGUGUUCUUGACAUCAAGCGUGAAGGAGGAAGGUACAAGCCUAACCGGUUCGCAAGCAACGCAAAACAAAGGUGAAUCUCACUCUUGAUAAUGGCGAGCUUGGAUCGAACACACCACAUCGCCCUUUAUGCGCUUCCGGUUUAGUCUCUUUGUAAAUGGGUCAAAUCACUUUUAUAAUGUAAAUGUUAAGUUUAUGUCUAAGAUGUUUCGUAAGUAAACUAGGAUUUUAAAUCUUAUUUUUGGUAGUUCGGACAAAACACUUUUGGUGGAAUCUUGUAUGGUUACAACUUAUAUGUCUUUUGAAACGUGUCAUAGAAUUUAGUUUGAAUGGUGAUUGUUAAAAGCAGGGAAUUGUAUAUAGUACGAACGGGUCAUGCCCAAUUUUUGUUAAAAAUUAGUAUGUGGUUACUAUUA